GUCUGAACUCAAAUCAGGUAAGAUUACCCGCUGAAUUUAAGCAUAUUAAUAAGCGGAGGAAAAGAAACUAACAAGGAUUCCCUUAGUAACGGCGAGUGAAGCGGGAACAGCUCAAGCUUGAAAUCGGCAUUUGGUAAACAUAUGUCGAGUUGUAGCUUUUGGAAGCAGUUUCGAGCAGCUGGCUACGGUAAAAGUUCUUUUGAAUAAGACAUCAAAGAGGGUGAUAAUCCCGUCAUUGACCGUAGCUGUAAGUUGUGAUACGAACUGUUUUCUGUGAGUCGGGUUGUUUGGGAAUGCAGCCCUAAUUGGGAGGUAAAUUUCUUCCAAAGCUAAAUAUUAGUAAGAGACCGAUAGCAAACAAGUACCGUGAGGGAAAGAUGAAAAGCACUUUGAAAAGAGAGUGAAAAGUACGUGAAAUUGUUAAAAGGGAACCGGUUGGUAGCCAAGCUUUUUUUUCUUCUUCGGAAGAGAAAAGGUCAACAUCGAUUGUAAACCGCCAGAAAGGAGAUAAUGUAGACUAGCGGAGGAAGGUAGGGAACUAAGUUUCUAUGAAGCAAUUUGUAGUAUUAUGGCCUAGUUUCUGUUAUAGCCUCUACGUGGUCUACUGUACGCAAGUACACGCCUGGUGGCGGUGACGAUCGAGGACUGCAGCGCGUUUUUGGAGCAGGAGAUUAAUUUUUUCUGUUUUGAAUGGCCUAUUUGUUUAGAAGCUUUGUGGUUGCGUUCUAGUAGACAGCUUGCUGACUAUUAGGGGUACACUAUAUGAUUUUAGGCAUUUGGGAUUAAUAAGCGCUUUGGAUGUUGACGAAAAGGCACUAAUCGACCCGUCUUGAAACACGGACCAAGGAGUCCAACAUGCAUGCGAGUAUUUGGGAGUUUUUAAACCCAUAUGCGCAAUGAAAGUGAAUUAGUAGAAACUUUUAUUAGAAUGCAACCGGGAGAAUAUCUCGGACAGCAUCGACCGACUUUAGAUAGCGUUGCUUGAAAAGGUUGAGUAAGAGCAUGUAUGCUGGGACCCGAAAGAUGGUGAACUAUGCCUGAAUAGGGUGAAGUCAGAGGAAACUCUGAUGGAAGCUCGUAGAGAUUCUGACGUGCAAAUCGAUCUCCAAAUUUGGGUAUAGGGGCGAAAGACUAAUCGAACCAUCUAGUAGCUGGUUCCUGC
rnacentral:rRNA from 1 species